GAUGAAGAACGCAGCAAAAUGCGAUAAGUAAUGUGAAUUGCAGAAUUCAGUGAAUCAUCGAAUCUUUGAACGCACAUUGCGCCCGCCAGUAUUCUGGCGGGCAUGCCUGUUCGAGCGUCAUUUCAACCCUCAAGCCCUCGGGUUUGGUGUUGGGGAUCGGCGAGCCUUUCUGGCAAGGCGGCCCCGAAAUCUAGUGGCGGUCUCGCUGCAGCCUCCAUUGCGUAGUAGUAAAACCCUCGCAACUGGAACGCGGCGCGGCCAAGCCGUUAAACCCCCAACUUCUGAAUGUUGACCUCGGAUCAGGUAGGAAUACCCGCUGAACUUAAGCAUAUCAAUAAGCGGAGGA
rnacentral:misc_RNA from 1 species